GACGAACGCUGGCGGCGUGCUUAACACAUGCAAGUCGAACGGACAGGCCCUGCUUUUGUGGGGCGCUCGAGUGGCGAACGGGUGAGUAACACGUGAGUAACCUGCCCUUGACUUUGGGAUAACUUCAGGAAACUGGGGCUAAUACCGGAUAGGAGCUCCUGCUGCAUGGUGGGGGUUGGAAAGUUUCGGCGGUUGGGGAUGGACUCGAGGCUUAUCAGCUUGUUGGUGGGGUAGUGGCUUACCAAGGCUUUGACGGGUAGCCGGCCUGGGAGGGUGACCGGCCACAUUGGGACUGAGGUACGGCCCAGAAUCCUACGGGAGGCAGCAGUGGGGAGUAUUGCACAAUGGGCGGAAGCCUGAUGCAGCAACGCCGCGUGCGGGAUGACGGCCUUCGGGUUGUAAACCGCUUUCGCCUGUGACGAAGCGUGAGUGACGGUAAUGGGUAAGAAAGCACCGGCUAACUACGUG
rnacentral:rRNA from 1 species